GCAGUCGACGGCAGCACGGAGCUUGCUCUGGUGGCGAGUGGCGAACGGGUGAGUAAUGCGUCGGAACGUAUCCAAUAAUGGGGGAUAACGCAGCGAAAGCUGUGCUAAUACCGCAUACGCCCUCCGGGGGAAAGCAGGGGCUCGUAAGACCUUGCGUUAAUGGAGCGGCCGACGUCUGAUUAGCUAGUUGGUAGGGUAAAGGCCUACCAAGGCGACGAUCAGUAGCUGGUCUGAGAGGAUGAUCAGCCACACUGGGACUGAGACACGGCCCAGACUCCUACGGGAGGCAGCAGUGGGGAAUUUUGGACAAUGGGCGCAAGCCUGAUCCAGCCAUUCCGCGUGAGUGAAGAAGGCCUUCGGGUUGUAAAGCUCUUUCAGGAGGGAAGAAACGGUCUUAGCUAAUACCUAAGACUAAUGACGGUACCUUCAGAAGAAGCACCGGCUAACUACGUGCCAGCAGCCGCGGUAAUACGUAGGGUGCGAGCGUUAAUCGGAAUUACUGGGCGUAAAGCGUGCGCAGGCGGUUUUUCAAGUCUGAUGUGAAAUCCCCGGGCUUAACCUGGGAACUGCGUUGGAAACUGAAAGACUAGAGUGCGGCGGAGGGGGGUAGAAUUCCACGUGUAGCAGUGAAAUGCGUAGAUAUGUGGAGGAAUACCGAUGGCGAAGGCAGCCCCCUGGGUCGACACUGACGCUCAUGCACGAAAGCGUG
rnacentral:rRNA from 1 species